GACGAACGCUGGCGGCGUGCUUAACACAUGCAAGUCGAACGGAAAGGCCCUGCUUUUGUGGGUUGCUCGAUUGGCGAACGGGUGUGUAACACGUGAGUAACCUGCCCUUGACUUUGGGAUAACUUCAGGAGACUGGGGCUAUUACCGGAUAUGAUCUCCUGCUGCAUGGUGGGGGUUGGAAAGUGUCGGCGGUUGUGGAUGGACUCGCGGCUUAUCAGCUGCUUGGUGUGGUAGUGGCUUACCAAGGGUUUGACGGGUAGCCGGCCUGGGAGGGGGACCGGCCACAUUGGGACUGAGAUAGGCACCAGACGCCAAUGGGAGGCAGCAGGCGAGAGUAUUGCACAACGGGCGGAAGCCAGAUGCAGAAAUGUCGCGUGCGGGAAACCGGGUUACGGGUUGUGAACAGCUUUGGCAUGUGCCGAAGACUGAGUGACGGUAACGGGUCAAGAAGCACCGGCUAACUACGUG
rnacentral:rRNA from 1 species